UACGUAGGUGGCAAGCGUUGUCCGGAUUUAUUGGGUUUAAAGGGUGCGUAGGCGGAACAGUAAGUCAGUGGUGAAAUCCUGUUGCUUAACAACAGAACUGCCAUCGAUACUGCUGAUCUUGAGUACAUAUGAUGUGGGCGGAAUGUGCCAUGUAGCGGUGAAAUGCUUAGAUAUGACACAGAACACCGAUUGCGAAGGCAGCUCACUAAGUCAUAACUGACGCUGAUGCACGAAAGCGUGGGGAGCAAACAGG
rnacentral:rRNA from 1 species